rnacentral:lncRNA from 7 species
UCCUAGGGAGAACUUCAGACAUGAGGAUUUUAAUGGAGAAAGUCAUACGGCUUCUUUGUCUCAUGUGUUGAAUUCUGCGAUCUGUAGCUCCUGGAGUCGAAGUUUCCAGGCUAAAGGCAGGAUCUAUUUGUGUCACAUUCUGGGUUACAGCAGCUUCAUAUGAUGUUUAGACUGGUGAAAAAGGACUUAUAUCGUGCCACAAGACAAAGCCAGGACAUAGUAAAUUAACAGUCUGUUGCACUAACUUGACACUGACUUCAGUCUUUCUUUCUUUGUAAAGUGGAAUUAUGUCUGGUGAGUGAAGGACAAACUACUUGAAAGCGUGAUUGUGUGCUGCCUGGUCUUACAACACCAGAGUCUCUCUGGAACUAAGUUUUACAGUCAUGUAAGGACUAUGAAUUUUUACAUCCUCUAAGGCUUAUGUAGAUUAAAACUAAAAAGCUAUGUUUGGCAAAGAAAAUCUCUUUGUAGUCUGUACUGACUCCCUUGGAAAACACCUUUCUGACACUUUUUGAGUACAGCUGUGUGCCCAGUCCCUGCUUUUCUCAGUUCUGUGUUCACAUUACAAACUCCUUGCAGAAUAUAUUUGCUUUUAAGGAAGGAGCGAUCACUCUCCUUCCCUAGCCUGCAGUGUUUCUGCUUGCGAGAUGUGCAGUAGCUGGACAAAAGGAAAUGGAUAUUUUCUCUUUGCUAUAGGUGGAGAAACGUAAAGGAUAAGGACUCUUUCAUCACUAAGUCUGCAUUACAGAGUCUGUCCGAAGAGUACAGUAAACUGUGCUUAAACUGUUUUGGAGACAUAGAAGGGUAGGGGGAGAAAGUGAGUGUCGGGCAAGAGAAUAAAUGUUCACUUUUUAAAUGGUAAGAGCUGUUCACAGGAGAACAGGAAAAUGCCUCAAAUAUAGGGCCUAGAACUUCAAGUACCCUGGAGAUCUUACAGAAGGAAAAGUAUAUGAAGAUGAGUAGUGUUUUGACUUUCAGUAAGAUAUGAAUUUAACCAGUAUAUUUUCUCCUGAGGAUGACUGCGGAGGAAUAUAUUCCUGUAUUCCUAAAAUCGAUGAAAAGUAUUAAGUGCUUUUUCAGCUCAGGUCUUAUUAAUUUGAUCUAGUGCAUACGUGGUUUUGAGGGGUAAAUACAGUGGAGAUAACGUGACAGAGAAGGAGAAGGUAGUGUAUGGUUCUUUGACAUCCCAGUGUCACUGAUUUAGCUCAGUGAUUUUUAUUUUCUUUUGUGAAAUGAUUUGUUGAAGCGUUUUUGUCUUCAGUUAACUGUUUAAUCAAAAAUUAAUUGAUUUAUUUAUGGUGUGUCCUGAAAUUCCAUCAUUUCUGCUGCUACUGAAACAAUGUUCCUGUUGCAAAUAACUGAUAUAUCUUCAGCAGUCAGCUAAUCUCACUUUUGCUUUGAAAUACAUUUUACCAUCAGGGCAUGAGUGAGUGCCAUCCUUUUUUCUGUGCUUGUAAAAUGACAAAACUGUUCUCCCCAGAGAUUGAAAUGUUAUUGUCAACAACUUUUUUCAAAAACAAAAACUCUGCCACAUAUUAAGAUUGUUGAAAUUAACUGCUGUGCCUCUCACAGAGUUAUGAAAUAUUGAUAUCCAGUCUCUAACCUUGAGAUUCAAGAGAAAGUUUUGUUAAUAUCCAGUGACCUUAUGGAAAGUCAAUGGUUAUAACAGUAGAACUUGAUCAGAGAAUAUUUCUAUGAACGGAUUCUGUUUGUACUGGUAUGUGGGUGUAUGAAGAAGAGCAAUUAAAAAAUCUGCUCAGAUGUAUGCUGAUGGAGGGGGGGGGGGGGGGAAGCGUAGCAACUACUGAAUGUAGCUGUUAAAAAUUACUUUUAAAAUAAUAUUUUGAGAGUACUAUUUAUGUCAUGUUCGGUUUGAACACAGAUGUCAUGAUUGUUUGAAAGUAAUUGGCCAGCCACUUGUCACUAUCUUUAAUUUAUGCUGACUUCAUUUUUACAUCAUUUUUGCAAGGGAAAGGCUUCUUAUGGUUGCAAUAUCAUAUUUUCUGUCAUUGGUUGGUUGCUUAAAGCAAAAUUACAGUUGCAAUCAGUAACAUUCUGUUUUCACAUUAUCAGAAUGAAUUAAGAAAGGACUGCUCAAGCAAAUCCUGUUCCUAAUAAUUGUU